rnacentral:miRNA from 10 species
CCUUUCAGUGGUAUGGUGGUGU